UACGUAGGGCGCGAGCGUUGUCCGGAUUUAUUGGGCGUAAAGAGCUCGUAGGCGGCUUGUCGCGUCGUCCGUGAAAACUCGGGGCUCAACUCCGGGCUUGCGGGCGAUACGGGCAGGCUAGAGUUCGGUAGGGGAGACUGGAAUUCCUGGUGUAGCGGUGAAAUGCGCAGAUAUCAGGAGGAACACCGGUGGCGAAGGCGGGUCUCUGGGCCGAUACUGACGCUGAGGAGCGAAAGCCAGGGGAGCAAACGGG
rnacentral:rRNA from 1 species